AAAAAUUUAGUUAAACCCAUAACAUUAGUAUGUCAAACUAAAAUUAUUAAUUAAAUAAUUUUUA
rnacentral:tRNA from 1 species